ACUCAGUGGGUUAAGGAUCCGGCAUUGCUGUGAGCUGUGGUGUAGGUCGCAGAUAUGGCUUGGAUCUGCCUUCACUGUGACAGUGGUGCAGCCCGGCAGCUGUAGCUCUGAUUCAGCCCCCAGCCUGGGAACAUCUAUAUGCUUUGUGUGUGGCCCAAAAAAGCAAAAACAAAAAAAACCAAAAAACAAAACCCCCCAAAUUCCUCCAAAUUAAAUGAUAAAUUAGCUCAUCAGAUGGUCUAGGUGCUGGGGAGAGUUUGGGGGUUUCUGAGAGGGGCAGGGUGGCCGCAGUCUUACAAAGGGGGCUCAGGGAAGGCUUCACAAAACCCAAAGCGCUGCAGGGUCCAGACCAAAGGCUCCUGCAGUGACCCAGACAUGGGACAUUACAGGAUCUGUUCGAGGAACUGGGAUCCAAGGUGAGAUACUUUUUAGAAACAGUUCCCCAAAUGUAGCUUCUCUUGGCCAAAGGAGCCACGAAUUGGAGCUGAAGGCCCUUCCUUCGUGAGCUGCCUUCCCAAGGCCAUGCCCUUGAAGACUGGACCCACAGCUCAGCCACCCUUGUCCUCAUGGUCCCUGGUACCGCGUGGGCUCGGGGGCUGACGCGGCGCGGUGAUUUUUGCUGAUAGCAGCACAGCCGGAGCUCACAGUGGUGGGCCGAGGAGCAAGGUGUGGCAGGAGGAAGGAGCAGGCAGUGUCCGGUGUCCAGAGCACAUGAGCCAGCCCCACACCAGCCUGUGCCCCUGGCACGGAUCUGCCAAGGCCAUGUCUGUUCCGUCCUCCCUGAGCCAGUCGGCCAUCAAUGCCAACAGCCACGGAGGCCCCGCACUGAGCCUGCCCCUGCCCCUGCACGCCGCCCACAACCAGCUGCUCAACGCCAAGCUGCAGGCCACGGCCGUGGGACCCAAGGACCUGCGCAGCGCCAUGGGGGAGGGUGGUGGGCCCGAGCCGGGCCCCGCCAACGCCAAGUGGCUAAAGGAGGGCCAGAACCAGCUCCGGCGGGCCGCCACGGCCCACCGUGACCAAAACCGAAACGUGACCUUGACCCUGGCCGAGGAGGCCAGCCAGGAGCCUGAGACGGCACCCCUGGGCCCCAAAGGCCUGAUGCACCUGUACUCUGAGCUGGAGCUCUCCGCCCAUAAUGCGGCCAACAGGGGCCUCCGAGGACCCGGCCUGAUCAUCAGCGCCCAAGAGCAGGGCCCGGACGAGGGAGAGGAGAAGGCGGCAGGGGAGGCGGAGGAGGACGACGAGGAAGAGGAGGAGGAGGAGGAAGAGGACUUGUCUUCUCCUCCAGGGCUGCCGGAGCCCCUGGAGAGUGUGGAGGUGCCCGCCGGGCCCCAGGCCCUUGCAGACGGCCCCCGAGAGCACAGCAAGAGCGCCAGCCUCCUGUUCGGCAUGCGGAACAGCGCAGCCAGCGACGAGGACUCGAGCUGGGCCACCUUAUCCCAGGGCAGCCCCUCCUACGGCUCCCCGGAGGACGCAGAUUCCUUUUGGAACCGCAACGCCUUCGAGACGGAUUCCGACCUGCCGGCUGGAUGGAUGAGGGUCCAGGACACCUCAGGGACCUACUACUGGCACAUCCCGACGGGGACCACCCAGUGGGAGCCCCCGGGCCGGGCCUCCCCAUCGCAGUCACAGGGGAGCAGCCCCCGAGAGGAGUCCCAGCUCACCUGGACCGGCUUCGCCCACGGAGAAGGCUUCGAUGAUGGAGAGUUUUGGAAGGAUGAGCCCAGCGAGGAGGCCCCGAUGGAUUUGGGGCUGAAGGAGCCCGAGGAGAGGGUGUUGCCCUUCCCAGCUCAGAGCCUCAGCCCAGAGCCGUUGCCCCAAGAGGAGGAGAAGCUGCCUGCACGGAAUGCCAACCCCGGGGCCAAGUGUUUCGCCGUGCGCUCCCUGGGCUGGGUGGAGAUGACGGAGGAGGAGCUGGCCCCUGGCCGCAGCAGCGUGGCCGUCAACAACUGCAUCCGUCAGCUCUCCUACCACAAAAACAACCUGCACGACCCCAUGUCUGGGGGCUGGGGGGAGGGAAAGGACCUGCUGCUCCAGCUGGAGGACGAGACGCUGAAGCUGGUGGAGCCGCACAGCCAGGCGCUGCUGCACGCCCAGCCCAUCGUCAGCAUCCGCGUGUGGGGCGUCGGGCGGGACAGCGGAAGGUGGGGGCGCGGCCCGGGGUCCGGGGCGGGGCUCAGCCAGCAGUCAGAGCGGGCCUCCUCCCUCACCCUCUUCUUUGCCUCUCUUGUGCUGCCGGACCCAGAGAGAGGUAGUAUGCUCAUCCGGACCGUUCCUCUGCCCAGCCCCGGAGCAGACGCCGCGCAGCCCCCAAGUUCCCUUGUCGUGCCCUGCCCCCUCCUGGCCGCUCUGCUCACCCACCCUCCCCUGGCAUGCUCGCCUGUCUACCCUCUGGCCAGAAGGCAGCACCUACUGGACGCCACCCCCAGGGCAGAAGCCCUAGAGGAGCUGCGAUGGACGGGGGUGGGGGGACGGGGGGGGACCAGGCUUAGCACCCGAUGGCCCUGGGAGACACUGAGGCGCCCCUCCCCCAACAGGGACUUUGCCUACGUAGCUCGCGAUAAGCUGACCCAGAUGCUCAAGUGCCACGUGUUUCGCUGUGAGGCACCCGCCAAGAACAUCGCCACCAGCCUGCAUGAGAUCUGCUCUAAGAUCAUGGCCGAACGGCGCAAUGCCCGCUGCCUAGUAAACGGACUCUCCCUGGACCACUCGAAACUGGUGGACGUCCCUUUCCAAGUGGAAUUCCCGGCACCCAAGAACGAGCUGGUACAAAAGUUCCAAGUCUAUUACCUGGGGAAUGUGCCUGUUGCUAAACCCGUUGGUACGUGUGUCCUUUCUCACCCAGGGCCGGGACGGCCACCUCGAUCCCGCCCUCCGCCUCCCAGCGCCUCUCACCAGGCCUUCCUUCCGCCUCCCGUCCCUCUGCCCCCCCUCCCCCCGCAGCCCCUGUCCGCCUUCACUGAGUGUGAGCCAGGGAACCAGGGCCACGAGGAGCCCAAGGGCAGGGACCGCCAGGUUCCCUCUGGCAUUUCCAGGGCUUUCCCAGCUCCAGUCGCUUACUCGCUCCUUCGCUUAGCAAAUACCUAAGAAGCCUGCCUCUCAGGUGCCAAGUCCUGGGAAAACAAUGACCGCAGUCCUACUCUCGUGGAGGUUACAGGAGAUGACAGUGGGAAAAAAGAGAAAGUCAGUAAUCACACAAUAACCGUGCAGUGGCAAGUGGAGCCAUUCACUGGAAGAAAGUAUCAAGGUGCCCUGAGCUGCGUCACAGAGGAGCUUCCUUUAGACCCGGGAGUCAGAAGGGACUUGAGAACGUGGCGUCUGAGCUUCCUCCAGGCGGCAGAGGCCCAGCUUGCCCUGCCUCCGUGCUGAUGCGCCCCAAUCCGGGGCAGGUGCCGCCCCGUCUGCUCGUUAGGCAGCGUGGCUUUGCCGCCGGGCCCACACUCACGACCUCUGAGCUCUUCUGUUGGCUGGCAUCGUUGUCCUUAACAUCUGGGCCGUGUGCCAUCUGCGCUGGCCCCCCUGUUCCUGCCUGGUCACCACCCCUCUGUGGCUCCUGGGUCUCUUACACUAGUUGGGAUGCCUCUGGCCCUGUGGCCCUGGGGGUGACUUGCUCAUGCAUCUGGGGCUCCUUCAGUAGAUAAGUAAGCCCUGUGCUGGGGUGGGGACGCCGACAGGAGGGGGCCUGGUUCCUUUCCUUGAGAUGGCUCCAGCCCAGUGUGGAGAAAGGGUUCCCCCUGUGAUAAGCGUUGUCGCAGCUGCACCCUCCGUGCCCCGAACAGAUAAGGCCUCUGAAGCGGGGCCUGGGUGCACCUUGAAGGAGGUUGGGAGUUUCUCAGACAGUGUGGAGGGGACGGCCCGUGGACAGGCAUCCCCUUCUCUCACUCUGGAGGCCCCUUCUGCCGGGCUGCGCAUUUGCCGAGACUGGAUCUUAAGUGCUGCCCGCGCCACUGGAGGCUCAGGGAGCAGUCCAGUGUGAUGCUCGACAGGUCACAGGAGGCCAGUUUUCAUGCUCAGGACAGGAGGGUGGCUUUGAUCCGGCCAGAGAGUAAGACAAGCAAGGCCACGAUGCGGGAGGACUUGCGAGGGAGACCCUCCGUCCACAAAGGGCCCCUGCGGUCUGCUCCUCGUGGGUGGCCAGAGGCACCAAAAGGGGCGAAAGGCCCGAGCGUGGGCCGCAGAGGUGCGGUCCUUUGCGUUGGCGUGGUUCCCCCUCAUCUCUUGGCUAUGAGGCUACACAGAGGAUGGCACGGCCAGCUCACGAGCAGUGCAGGGACCGGAACCCACGCCCCAGCACUCUGCGAGCUCUUGCCUCGGUUGUCAACUGAGUACGCGCAGAAGUGGGGUGGCCUGGGCGGAAAUGCUGCACAGCGGUCUAGAGGAUUCAUGUCGCAGGGGAAGCUGACUGGUCUAAAAGCCUGGCGCCUCAGUCCCUUGGCCGCUGAGCCCCUCCUGGAAAGGACUGAGCACACCUAAGAUGUGACAGCCUUUCCGGUUCCGAAACUGGGAAUCUCGAGAAGGGGCAGGGAAGGGCCUGGCCAAGAACCCAGGCUCCAGAAUCGACUGCCUGCCUUCAGGUCCUCGUUCCUCAGUGCGCCCUAAGGUUUAUUACCUGGUCCUCCAAGCUGCGUUUCCUGCCUGCAGCGGGGUGAUAAAGGCUCUGCCGUGAGACCGUAAGGACACAAUGCACUGUGAUGACGUGACUCAGUAUGACACGAGAGCAAACAUUCCUCGAGGGGAAGCCCUAAAAACCAGAAGCAAAAACAGAGGCUGCCUCUCGAGGACGGGCGAGGACUGGCCGGUGGGCUCACUGAGACCGACUUGGGAGUAAGAGUCACUGUGGUGCGAGGCCCCCGGAUGUCUGAACGUGGGAGAGCGAGAUAGGGCACAGCUCCAGGGGGUCGGUCCGCUUAGGAGGCUGGAGGAAGAGGCAGCGUCAGUGACAAAAACAAAGCUUAGGAUUCAAGAUGGAAAAGGCUAGAAAAGUGCCCGGUUACUGGAGCCAAGGGGGAGAGCACCAAGCAAGGGACACCUGCACAGCAUCGUCCAGGGCCACGGGCGAGGGCAGCGGGGACGAGGCAGCAGAGGUCCAGCGCAGGGCUGGGGGGUCGUGUCCUCGCUAUCCGCGCUUCAUCCCUUGUCUUGCAGGGGUGGAUGUGAUCAACGGGGCCCUGGAGUCGGUCCUGUCCUCCAGUAGCCGUGAGCAGUGGACACCGAGUCACGUCAGCGUGGCCCCUGCCACGCUCACCAUCUUGCACCAGCAGACCGAGGCCGUGCUGGGGGAGUGCCGCGUGCGCUUCCUGUCCUUCCUGGCCGUGGGCAGGGAUGUCCACACCUUUGCGUUCAUCAUGGCUGCUGGCCCGGCCUCCUUCUGCUGCCACAUGUUCUGGUGCGAACCCAACGCCGCCAGCCUCUCCGAGGCCGUGCAGGCUGCGUGCAUGCUCCGCUACCAGAAGUGUCUGGAUGCCCGCUCCCAGGCCUCCACCUCCUGCCUCCCGGCACCCCCCGCUGAGUCUGUUGCCCGGCGCGUAGGGUGGACCGUGCGCAGGGGCGUCCAGUCGCUGUGGGGCUCCCUCAAGCCCAAGCGGCUGGGGUCCCACACCCCCUGAAGCCCCCGGUCCUCCCUACACCUGCUUGCGUUGGGUCCUGGGGAACUCAGGGUACGGGGCAGGGAGGGGCUCUGCCGGCCAUACCUAGACCUCGGGCCCCCCAGAGCUGCCCCUUCCCCAGUAGCUGGGGUUCCCUGCCUAGGGGCUGGGGAGGGAGAUCCGUCAGGCGAGGAAGUGGCCACAUGGAUUAAUGAGAAGAGGCGCAGGAAGCAAGGCCAGCCCCAGGCCCUCUAGUCCCACGUUUCUGGGGGUGCAGGAGGACCUGGUCUAGGCCAUGCCCCACCUUCCUAGGGUCCUGCGGGGGCAGGAGGGGACUGGUCCAGGCAUGGGUCCCCUCCCCUCUGCUCCACGGCACUUCUGCUGUACUGAUAUCACUAAUAAAGUCUGUCUGCCCUGCUGA